rnacentral:rRNA from 1 species
GAUGAACGCUAGCGGCAGGCCUAAUACAUGCAAGUCGAACGGUAAGGCCCUUUCGGGGUACACGAGUGGCGGACGGGUGCGUAACGCGUAUGCAACAUGCCUUCCAGCGGGGGAUAUACCAGGGAAACUUGGCGCAAUACCCCAUAGAAUUACGGGACCGCAUGGUCUUGUGAUUAAAACUCCGGUGCUGGGAGAUUGGCAUGCGUGACAUUAGCUAGUUGGCGGGGUAACGCCCACCAAGGCGACGAUGUCUAGCUGGUCUGAGAGGAUGAUCAGCCACACUGGGACUGAGACACGGCCCAGACUCCUACGGGAGGCAGCAGUAGGGAAUAUUGGACAAUGGGGGGAACCCUGAUCCAGACCACUGCCGCGUGAGGGAAGAAGGUCC